UUUUUUUUUUGAAGAGCGACAAUAUGCCAUGUAUCUGUUUAUUUGAGAGAAAUUGAUGGGAUUCAGAAGCGGGGGUACAGGCAGAGAGGAGGGACGGCCAUCCGCCCAACCCUAAACGCCAUACCAAACGGAAAAUCCACGCAACCCUCCUGAGCGAGUGAGCAGAGCCCAGCCCAGGAAGGGCUGCGGGGACCUCAGACUAGAGCCGGGGGAAGUGGCCACGAGCUCGCGGCGGCGGCGGCGGCGGCGGCCCUCUCGCCCAGCAGGAAAGACCUGGAGGGCCCGGGGCGUUGCUCAGGUUUCGGGGAGAAUGAACUGACCCAGCCUUAGAGUCCCGGUUGCUAGGGUGCGGGGCCCAGGACGCCGUCGGCGGCGCCUCCAGACCCGGUGCAAGCUCGCCCAGCCUAGCCUUGGGAUGCGAGCGGGACCCGCCGCGGGGAGCGCAGCGUCCGGGAGAACCGGGCCGCUAGGGACGAAACGGGGAGCGGCCGCGGUCCCGGCUCCACGGCCCUCCCCGGGGCCAAGCCUCUCGGUCACAACCCGGGCACCGGACACCGCGGGGCGCCACUGGCGCAGGCUCGGCCGCCCGCCCAGGGUUCGAGCCUCCGGCCGUCCUCCAGCGCGCUCCGCCGCGCCCUGGGCUGGGGCGGCCCCUGGCGCUCUGCUCUUCGUCCGAGCGAGGUCUGGGGUGCGGCGAGCGAGCAGCCAGACUCCGGCUCCCGCUUCCGCCGCCGCCGCCGCCGCCGCCGCGCCCGGUCGAGGCCCUUCCAGGGCAGGAUGGAGGAGACUGUGUGGUUAUGGUGGUUUAUCACUGUAGAGUGAAUACAUAAUCAAGCUACCGAAUGAGGGCAUUUGGGCUGCUUUCAGGAGAGACUCUGAGGGUGAAGGGCUGUGUGAGCUGUUACUCCAGGUCUCAAAGGUACGUUCCAAAGCAUCAGUGAAAGUGGUAACCAGACAUACCUGGCCGAUGUAUUACAGAUUACACUGGAUAAAAUACAGAUCUGUUAUAGGAACAGGAGCACCUGCUCCACAGAAGUCCAGAAGACCAGCAGUGUACAGUUACUGGUGUCCACUCCAGUUGCUGGGAGGAUUGGGAGGAGAGAUGAUACCAAUGCAAGACUUUCUUGCGUACACAGCUUCAGAGGUUUGGGGUUUAACUAUCAUGUGGGAGAACUACAGAGGUAGGAAAGUGUAUAGACCCUAAGCGAGCUGCCCACAUGUACGGAGCCAGUGUGGGAAGGCAUCCUUCCAUCAUCCGAGUGGCUCCAGGUUAGUAAAGUGCAGACCAUGCUUGGUGACAUUGCAAAUCUGCUCUCAGUUUCUGGACUGAACAGAGCCAAUGUAAAGGUCCUGUCCCAGGUCUCUCCCUCCCGUGGGGUGGGAAAUGAAAGUUCAGCCCCCAGGGCUGCCUGACAGACUGGGCAGUUGCUCUGUCCUUGGCUGCGCUGUGGUGCCUCCCAGCAUCCGCCUCUCGUUCCACAGGCAGUAACCCACCCGGAUUUUGUGUGUUUCUCCUGUUCUCCUCCGGCUUCUGCCUCCUCAGCUCUUUCUCCAUGCUCUCCCUAUGCUUCAGCUCUUCCACUGAACACGACCACAAAGACCCCGGCUGGAUGCAGGAGUGAAGGCCGAUACAGAUGCUCAAGGUGGCUGUGAAGUCGGAGAGCAGCAAGAGAAAGAAAGAAGCAAACGAAAUUCCUGAAUGGAUAGGAGAUGCUACGUCAGCGUCAGCGGUACCCGAGUCGCAUCCUCCACUCCACAAGAGAAGAGCUGGGAGAGACCCGCGGCGGCGGCGGCGGUGGCGGCGGCGCAGCCACGCGCCAGCAUCGCCUCUUCGCCUCACAGAGGCAAGGCCUUCCACAGGAGCAGUUGUCUAGAAGCAGCCUCCUCCAUGGCCCAUCGAUCAUCGAUGGAUGUCGUCAUAGGUGGCCGGCAUCUCUGGCUUUGGGCUUCUCUGCUGGGCGGGUGGGUGCUCCACCCUCCCGCCCUCUCUCUGCCCUGUGGACGUGUGGACCAGUGACAUCCAGCACCACGGACAGCUCCUAGCGGCCUCUGGGUCAGCCAGCUCCACACUGAGGUGUCAGCGCCUGGUGUCUCCCUUGUGGUCACUUCGGUCAUUUCAACUAUCUGUUGAAGUCGGCAAGCUCUUUGGAUGCCUCGUUCACGCCAGGCUGGAAGAGACUCCCAUGGCCCUGUAGAGUCUAGCAGGAAAGCAGACACAACUCACCUCCGGCGGUUGCUCUUCGAGAAGCCCAGUGGCUUCCUGGAGGACAAUGAUAGAGCAGUAAAGCAAGGCCAAAGAAGACCUGACCUCACUCUGUGCUCCCCUUCGAGGCGAAGUGUGUUCCCAGACUAAGAAAGGGCUAGCUCCAGCAAGCAGAAAUGGACAGAGGCAGAGGUGCCACCUGACAGCUUCUCCCCAGAGUCACGGAAUGAGGGCCUUGCUUACCCGGUCAUUUCCAGCAAGUGGUCCCGCCUGGCCCAUCUAUUUUGCCUGUUGCCUCUCAGCUGGUCCCUAAAUCCUAUCCCAUGUCCAAUAAAGAGUGUUGCAGAUUGAA